GACGAACGCUGGCGGCGUGCUUAACACAUGCAAGUCGAACGGAAAGGCCCUGCUUUUGUGGGGUGCUCGAGUGGCGAACGGGUGAGUAACACGUGAGUAACCUGCCCUUGCCUUUGGGAUAACUUCAGGAAACUGGGGCUAAUACCGGAUAGGAGCUCCUGCUGCAUGGUGGGGGUUGGAAAGUUUCGGCGGUUGGGGAUGGACUGGCGGCUUAUCAGCUUGUUGGUGGGGUAGUGGCUUACCAAGGCUUUGACGGGUAGCCGGCCUGAGAGGGUGACCGGCCACAUUGGGACUGAGAUACGGCCCAGACUCCUACGGGAGGCAGAAGUGGGGAAUAUUGCACAAUGGGCGGAAGCCUGAUGCAGCAACGCCGCGUGCGGGAUGACGGCCUUCGGGUUGUAAACCGCUUUCGCCUGAGACGAAGCGUGAGUGACGGUAAUGGGUAAAGAAGCACCGGCUAACUACGUG
rnacentral:rRNA from 1 species